rnacentral:rRNA from 1 species
GACGAACCGUGCGAACGUUGUUCGGAAUCACUGGGCUUAAAGGGCGCGUAGGCGGGCUGACAAGUCUGGGGUGAAAUGCCGCGGCUCAACCGUGGAACUGCCUUAGAUACUGUCGGCCUCGAGGGAGGUAGGGGCGUGCGGAACUGUAGGUGGAGCGGUGAAAUGCGUUGAUAUCUACAGGAACUCCGGUGGCGAAAGCGGCGCGCUGGACCUCUUCUGACGCUGAGGCGCGAAAGCUAGGGAGCAAACGGG